AACCUGGUUGAUCCUGCCAGUAGCUUAUGCUAGACUUGAAGAUUAAGCCAUGCAUGUCUAAGUAUAGUUAUAUACAGCGAAACUGCGAAUGGCUCAUUAAACCAGUUAUAAUCUACUUGAUGUUUUUCUUACAUGGAUAACCGUGGGAAACUAGGGCUAAUACAUGCGUAAACCUCCGGGUGUAUUUAUUAGUUUCAAAUCCGCGUUCAUCGAGGAAUCACAAUAACUGAUCGAAGCGAAUUUAUUCGCUAAAUCAUUCGAGUUUCUGCCCUAUCAGCUCUCGAUGGUAGUGUAUUGGACUACCAUGGCAGUAACGGGUAGCGGAGAAUUGGGGUUCGAUUCCGGAGAGGGAGCCUGAGAAAUGGCUACCAUUUCUAUGGAAGGCAGCAGGCGCGCAAAUUACCCAAUCCUAAUUCAGGGAGGUAGUUAAUAGAAAUAGCAUGCUCGCACCUCCGGUGAUGAGCAGGUAAUGACCGCUAUGUAAACAAAGCGGAAAUACUAUUGGAGGGCAAGUCUGGUGCCAGCAGCCGCGGUAAUUCCAGCUCCAAUAGCGUAAGUUAAUGUUGUUGCAGUUAAAAAGCUCGUAGUUGAAGUUCGGCGGUCACCGCCUAUCCGCGAGGGUUCCCGAUCCCUAAAAAGUUCUGUUUCCCGACCGGACCUUUACUGUGAACAAAUCAGAGUGCUCAAAGCAGGCUUUCGCUUGUAUGAUAAAGCAUGGAAUAAUGAAACAAGACUUUUGUCUUUUGUUGGUUAUGACAGAAGUAAUGAUUAACAGAAUCAGUUGGGGGCAUUCGUAUUUUAUCGUCAGAGGUGGAAUUCUAAGAUUGAUAAAAGACGAACUAAUGCGAAAGCAUUUGCCAAGAAUGUUUUCAUUAAUCAAGAACGAAAGUUAGGGGAUCAAAGACGAUUAGAUACCGUCGUAGUCCUAACUAUAAACUAUACCGACUAGGGAUUGGGGAGUCAUCAAGCUCCUCAGCACCUAAUGAGAAAUCAAAGUCUUUGGGUUCUUGGGGGAGUUGACGUUAAUACAGCCGUAAUUAACCGGAGGCCCAGAACCCGUCGGUGUAGCCACUCCACAGACCAGCUCCAGUCGGGCGGCGACGCCCGGCUAGUCGCGAGGCAACACUUUCAAAUUGCGGGGAAGCCCAAAUGUCCGUUCCACCGCGGCUGCUCGAAAGAGCCAGCGCAGCAGCAGGCGUAGUGGCCUGCGGGAGGUAACAGCGAACGGAAUGAGAUGGGUAAUCCGCAGCCAAGUCCGUCGGCCCGCCACGGAUGCAGUUCAGAGACUAAAUGGAAGUGGGCGCAAGCUUAAGAUAUAGUCCAGUCAUCAGUGAAGAUGGUCGCAAGGCUGAAACUUAAAGGAAUUGACGGAAGGGCACCACCAGGAGUGGAGUCUGCGGCUUAAUUUGAUUCAACACGGGAAAACUUACCAGGGCAAAAAACAUGGAUGAUUGACAGCUGAUAGUGCUUUCUGAUUGUGUAGGAAGUGUGCAUGGCCGUUCUAGUUGGUGGAGUGAUUGUCAGGUCAAUUCCUUUAACGAACGAGACCUUAACCUGCUAAAUAGGUCAACCUUCUCCAAGGUUUCACCUUCUUAGAGGGACUACGGGUAUCAAACCCGUGGAAGUUUGAGGCAAUAACAGGUCCGUGAUGCCCUUAGAAGUUCUGGGCCGCACGCGUACUACAAUGAUGCAUGCAAAAAGUUCUCCUAGUCCGAAAGGAUUGGGUAAUCUUCUUAAUGUGCAUCUUGCUUGGGAUAGAUCUUUGUAAUUGUGGAUCCUGAACCAGGAAUUCCUAGUAAGUGUGAGUCAUCAACUCACGCUGAUUACGUCCCUGCCCUUGACACGCGCGAGGCGCGGCGAUUGCCACACGGCGGUUGUACGAGGGGCACAAUGCGGCCAGAAAUGGCGCGCAAGUCGCAGGAUUUCGCGGCAGCACCGUCAAAUUGCGGGAAGUUCCUAAAGCUCCACCUACCAAGUCGGCGCGGAAACGCGUCGGCGGCCGGGGUAACGACCUAGGGUAGGGUAACAACGGUGGAGAUGACCUCACGGGAAAUGGAUGAUCCGCAGCCAAGUCCUACGUCUCCGGACACGGACGCAGUUCACAGACUAGAUGUCGGUGGGUGGCUCACGCCGCUUAAGAUAUAGUCGACCCGCCUCGAAAGAGGUCCUCUGGAGGAGACGCCGACUCGGAAAUGCCGAGCGAGUCACGUCAGAGCCAGAGCCGGAGAAAAGUUGUACACACCGCCCGUCGCUCCUACCGAUUUGGGUGAUUCGGUGAGCUCUUCUGACUGAGCCCCGUUAGGGGAACGGAACGUUGCGCAAAUCAUAUCACCUAGAGGAAGGAUAAGGCGUAACAAGGUUACCGUAGGUGAACCUGCAGAAGGAUCAA
rnacentral:rRNA from 1 species